rnacentral:misc_RNA from 1 species
GGUUUGAUUCUGGCUCCAGAUUGAACGCUGGCGGGAUGUACUUUACACAUGCAAGUCGAACGGCAGCACGGACUUCGGUCUGGUGGCGAGUGGCGAACGGGUGAGUAAUGUAUCGGAACGUGCCUAGUAGCGGGGGAUAACUACGCGAAAGCGUAGCUAAUACCACAUACGCCCUUCGGGGAAAGCGGGGGACCUUCGGGCCUCGCACUAUUAGAGC